GAUGGACGCUGGCGGCGUGCCUAACACAUGCAAGUCGAGCGAUUCUCUUCGGAGAAGAGCGGCGGACGGGUGAGUAACGCGUGGGUAACCUGCCCUGUACACACGGAUAACAUACCGAAAGGUAUGCUAAUACGAGAUAAUAUGCUCUUAUCGCAUGGUAGAAGUAUCAAAGCUUUUGCGGUACAGGAUGGACCCGCGUCUGAUUAGCCAGUUGGUAAGGUAACGGCUUACCAAGGCGACGAUCAGUAGCCGACCUGAGAGGGUGAUCGGCCACAUUGGAACUGAGACACGGUCCAAACUCCUACGGGAGGCAGCAGUGGGGAAUAUUGCACAAUGGGCGAAAGCCUGAUGCAGCAACGCCGCGUGAGCGAUGAAGGCCUUCGGGUCGUAAAGCUCUGUCCUCAAGGAAGAUAAUGACGGUACUUGAGGAGGAAGCCCCGGCUAACUACGUGCCAGCCGCCGCCGUAA
rnacentral:rRNA from 1 species